CUUAUUGUCUGUGUAUAGGACAUUCUGCUAAGUAGAUUAUCUCCCUUGGCUAGGCGGCCCUCCAUGCAGACAGUUCUACUUCCACGGACUGUCCAAGCCAUUGUUGUUGUGUGUCACGUCAUAUCAUGAAUAUUAAGGGACUCGAGUUAAAGAAUUAUUUGCGAUUACAUGGACAGUAUGUUACUGGAAAAAAGGCGGAUUUGGUUGAAAGGUUAAAAGAUUUCUCUGUAGACUUUUCCAGUAUCAACAUCCUUAAAGAAACCCCAGCUCAGCUAUGUGAGUAGACAAAGUCAUAUAUCUCAUAAUCUACACCAGUUACUGCCCAAAAGAAAUUUCCACAGAAAAUGUUUCAAAGAAUGUUGCAAAAUGUAUUUCAAAACCACCUUGAAAAGAUUGGAAUUGCUAAACAGUUCACAAAAACAUUACAAUUUUUGAGAACAAUAGAGCAACCACAGGAAUAACAGAGAACCAAAAGAAUUUUAGGUUCAGAAUGCCUGGGAUAUUUUUGCAUCCCAAACAUUGCUAUUAGCAGCUGUCUGCUAUCUAUAUUGUAUAUAUAUAUAUAUAUGUAUGUAUUUGAUAAACAUUUCUCUUAUUUUGAGAAAAAGAAAUUUGUAAAUAUAAAAAACCCCAGUAAAUAUUGGUUCACAGCAGUCAAAAGAGCAGAGUAUAAUUGCAGUAAAAAAUGUUUAUAAUUGACUUUCUCAUCUGUUAUCAAAAUAUUAAACAAUAAAGACUAAGUUGAUGUAUAAUACAUACAUUUGUGUGUGUGUGUGUGUGUGUAUUACUAAAACCACCUGGGACAAAACAGACAAAUAGCAGUUUUGAUAAAUGUAUUUUUUGUCAAACCUUUAUUUACAAAGUGAUUGUUUUAUUUAUAUAUUUUCUUCCAUUUGUUUUGCAUAUGUGUUAUUGUGUGAGUGCCAUAAUAUGAAACAAAUGGUGUGAGUAAGAGUUGGAAGAUGGUAAGAUUAUUUUCCAUUUGUUUGACUUUAAGGAAUUUUUUUUCUUUCUUGAAUUAAAGUUUUUAUAUUUCACAUCAAAAUAUAAAUAUUUUUAUAA